AUAAUGGCUGUCUUCUCUAUCCAUUAUAAUUAAGUUCACACAACAUGUAAUUUAGGUGUUGUUGAAUACAACUGCAAUCACUGUACACAGCUGGAAAUACAUUCCCUAUAGGCGCUGCCCCUGCAAACAAUAAUGAGUCGUGGGAUGUCCCUGGGAUGUUACGAAAAUGGUCGCCUAAAGUCAUCAGAACGUUGUCAUGGUCCCUGGAGGUUUUGUCUAGUUCCUGGACGGUCCUGGGGAUGUCCCCAAUGUCAUUUUUAGGAUGUUCUUGGGACGUUGUGUCAUGGUUUGUCCCGGUUUGUCCUGUGGAUGUCACCUGAUGGUCGAAAAUAAAUGUUUUCCCCUCCAAAAAUGUUUUACCCAGGGCAAUGGCACCCUAGUUAUAUUACACAUCACUCCUUCUUACUGUUGCCAAGCCCAUCAAGGUCCUGAUUGGUGAAUUACUGAUCCAGUUGUUUGUCUUUUGGCAAUGCUAGGAACACCCCCACACAGUGCUUUUUUUCAACUUACAUAUUUGAAACACUUUGACAUACAUGAUUGCAUUGUGUAUGUUUAUUCAUACAGUAAUUAUUAUUUAACAUGUCCUCACCUGGGAUUUGAACUCACAACAUCUGGUUCACAGCAUUCCAAUAUUCCUGCUACUCCAUCUUGUCUGUAUCAAUAAAUGAUUUCCCCAGAAGGCCUGUUCCUAUACUUUACACUUCAAAGUACAGCCCCCAAUAUAGUAUGGCAUUGGUUGAAGCUCAAUGUUAAAUUCACUGUUAAAUUCAAAUCUCCCUACCAUCAUGUCUAAGCCAAUAUGACACCAAUGUGUUUUAUUUUUUACAACCGUACAGCUGGCGACCGAAGUCAGCGCGCAUGCAGCUGGCCCGCCACAAAGAGUCGCUAGAGGGCAAUGCGACAAGGACAUCCCAGCUGGCCAAACCCUCCCCUAACCCGGACAACGCUGGGCCAAUUAUGCACCGCCUUAUCCGUCCCCCGGUUGCGAUGCAGCCCGGGAUUGAACCCGGGUCUGUAGUGACGCCAUGACACCAAUGUCAAUGAAAAUUUGCAAAUCAACUCGAUUGGAGGUACACAACACACUCCCUGCCUCUCGUCAUGAGCUCUCCGGUCGUUACCGAGAACCACAUACCGGAUUAAAAUGAGACUAUAGCGUCCAUAAAGUGACCCUUGGAUUAAAAUGAAAUUGACAAAACUGAAUUGACAAAAUGUAUAGGUGCAACAAAUGUGAUUAAAUUCAUAAUUUAUCGCUCUCACGUGCUAAUUUCUUUCUAUUAAGAACCAAGGAUGUGCUACUUUUUGUAGCAUUUUGGAAAAUGCCAACAUCUUUUCAGCCGAAUCUCAGAGUUCUAAAACUGGGGCCAACAACUCAGUUGCUGCACAAAAGCGACAGCUAGCUAGUAGCAGGCUAGCAACUGUAGCUAGCUAACUAACACCAGUUGGAUGAAAAGCAAGCUGCAAAGGAAGCUAGCUACCUUGAUAUAUUGGGCUAUUGAAGAGUUUUCACAUGGCUGAAGUCAUCUGUGUAACAAAAUUAGAGCGCAAACAAAUAAGACAGUGAAUGUCCUUGGCUGCUAUUAAACACAUAUAGAUAGCCAACAACUAUCCACAGGAACCGGGAUUCAUUGGACCAGGCAAUAUUUUCCACACCUCAAUUAUCCAGUGUUGCUGAUCACAUGCCAUGUUUUUCAUGCAAUGUUUUCCACACCUCAAUUAUCCAGUGAUGGUGAUUGCAUGCCAGUGUUGUCAUCUGCUGCAAUAGCCCAUCCAUGACAAGGAUUGACAACUUGACUGCUGCUGACUGGAUGUUUUUGAUUGUAACACCAUUCUCGGUAAACCCUAGACACUGUCGUGUGUGAAAAGCCCAGGAGGGCAGCCAUUUCUGAGAUACUGGAUCCGGCGAACUUUGCACCGACGAUCAUACCACGCUCAAAGGGCUUGUGUGGUGAAUGGACGGUAUGUGCCUGCAAGAUUUCUGGCUGCCAGGACCACGGACAGCAGUGGGAAGUAUUCCCCAGAGGCAGCACCACGUACAGCUCAGGGGCAAACUGCCAGACUGCAGCAGAACAGCCACACCUGUUUGCAGUUGUGAACGAGGAGCAGGAGGAGGAGGAGGAGGAGGAGGAGGAGGAGGAGGAGGAGGAGGAGGAGGAGGAGGAGGUGGUGGUGGUGGUUUACCGGAAUAAAGAAACUGAGAUUUGAAUAUGGAGUGAACCCUAAAGACCCAGAGUGGAGGACUUUCCACUGGUGACAACAUUUUUACUUUCGGAAAAAAAAGUGAUCCAACCAUGGGAGAGCAUCAGUGAAUUAGGACAGGAGGGUCCUCUAAGGAUGGCUUCAACAGGCUCUCAGAUGGAUGGCAUGCCGAGUCUCGUCACCCUGUCACCACCUAGCAAACGGGACGUCCCGAGGACAUUCCCAUUCGUUCCCUUAAGGGUUUCGGUGCAACAUUACCCUACUGACGUUCCGAGAACAUCGCAUGGACAUUCUGUGGGACCUUUGUUUAGUUCCCUGUACAGUCCCAGGAUGUCGCUGAGGAUCAUGUCAGGACCUUUUUAGGACAUUCUCAGGACUUUUAUUUGACUAAUCCUUAGGACAUUGCGUGAUGGACCCAAGGGAACAUUCUCUGGGGAACCAUAUUACUGUAACGUUCAUCGUAUUGAGUGGACCAAAACGCAGCGGGAACGUGUAUACUCAUCUUCUUUAUUGAGAAGGAAUGUGAACACUGAACAAAAUAACAAACACUGACGAAGACAGUCCUGUAAGGCUAAACGCUAUACACGGAACAACUACCCACAAACACAGUGACAAAAACCCCUUACUUAAAUAUGGCCUCCAAUUAAAAGCAACGAAGAACAGCUGCUUCUAAUUGAAGGCCAAACCAAAACCCUGAACAUAGAAAUAGACUAAAUAGACACAGACAUAGAAAUAUACUAACAUAGAACAUUGCCCCCAAAAAACGAAACACACUAAACAAACACCCCCUGCCACGCCCUGACCAAACUACAAUAACAAACAACCCCUUUUACUGGUCAGG
rnacentral:lncRNA from 1 species